UUCAAGGGCAAGGUGAAUAGAUUCAUUGUGAAUUUCGACUGGAACUUUCCGGAUAACCAAUCGACCAUAAUGACAGAUAUUAUGAAUAAAGCAAUGGAGAUUCCUCUUCCCAAGUUUGAUUGCGAAGAUCUCUGUGUUUGGUGUCCCAACUCCGAUGGGAUUUUCUCUACAAAAUCAACUUGGAACAAAAUUAGGCGUUUUAAGGAAUCUGUUGCUUGGGAGGCGCUGAUUUGGGGUAAGCAUUUGCAGCUGAGGCUUUCAAUCUUUGGGUGGAGAAUUAUGCACGGAAGGCUCCCUACUGAUGAGGCGGUAAUGACGAGAGGUGUUUCUCUGGCAUCUAGAUGUGAGCUAUGUAAUUUCUCGAGUGAGGAUUUGGAUCAUAUUUUGGUCCAAUGUUCUUUUGUUGAGACCAUUUGGACCAACGUUUGUCGUUGGUUUGAUAUUCCCUACAGGAAGCAUGAUUCUCUCCUUGGCCUUGCUUCAUGGUGGAAAAGGAAAAGUAAGUUAUCAAACCUUAAGGAUGUUUGGUCCAUUGCUUUUGUCAUUGGUGCUGAUCAAAUAUAGAGAGAGAGGAAUGGGCGCUGCUUCGAAGACAAGAAGAGGCACCAAAGGUACGUGCAAGACAUGAUAAAGAAAGACAUUAGAGAAAGCAUCCCUAAGGUGAAAACUUCUAUAAAAUCUGUUAAUGACAUUCUCAGUUGCAGAAGGCUAGGGCUGAAUAUUAUUAGUGCUGGAAUUAAACCUCCCCUAGAAGUCUUUUGGUGCAAACUGCCUAUGGGGUGGGUUAAGAUGAAUUUUGAUGGAAGCUCUCUUGGAAAUCCUGGUCACACAAGGGCUGGUGUGAUCAUGAGAGACUACAAUGGCAGAUGUCUUUGGUCUUGCAGUGUGUACCUGGGUAUUAAAGAAAUUUAUGAAGCAGAGUUUGAAGGCCUAAUGUAGGGUCUCAUGAAAGCAAAAGAGUUGGAUAUUCCAGCCAUUUGGAUAGAAUCGGACUCCACAUUGCUGGUCAUGGUAGUGCAACAGGGUAAGCUCCCUUGGUUUGCUAUGCAGAGAUGUGCUCACCUGGGGCCGUACCUGGAAAGGACUCCAUGGAAAAUAACUCAUAAUUACAGAGAAGGAACUUAGUGGUAGACUUCCUUGCCAAGAAAGCUGCAAAUCAAGAUGCUCUUCGUUCAACGAGGCUUUCCCAUCCCAUGUCUCUGAUAUGAUGGAACUUGAAGUCCAAGUGGUUUGGAAGCGUUGGAAUUUGUGGAAGAACAGUUGAGACUUGAGACUCACAGGUAAUGGUCAAGGCCAUAGGGCUGGUAAGGAGCCUGCAAGUUGAUGGUGAACAAAGAAGAAAUAUUUUAUUAUUUUGCUUUUCGUUGAUUCUUAAUGGUUAAGAGAGCGUAAUGUAAAUAUUGAUCAAGUAUGAAUGAGGACUUGGGAGUAUGGAUUGUAAAUAUUUUGGCCACUAGGGUUUGAUCUUGUUAACUCUGAUAUGUAAUAGAACUCUAUGUAAUGUUUUGAACUAUGCAUGGAUGCUUGGUUUGAA